rnacentral:rRNA from 1 species
GAUGAACGCUGGCGGCGUGCCUAAUACAUGCAAGUCGAGCGAACAGAUGAGAAGCUUGCUUCUCUGAUGUUAGCGGCGGACGGGUGAGUAACACGUGGGUAACCUACCUAUAAGACUGGGAUAACUCCGGGAAACCGGGGCUAAUACCGGAUAAUACAUUGAACCGCAUGGUUCAAUGUUGAAAGACGGUUUCGGCUGUCACUUAUAGAUGGACCCGCGCCGUAUUAGCUAGUUGGUAAGGUAACGGCUUACCAAGGCAACGAUACGUAGCCGACCUGAGAGGGUGAUCGGCCACACUGGAACUGAGACACGGUCCAGACUCCUACGGGAGGCAGCAGUAGGGAAUCUUCCGCAAUGGGCGAAAGCCUGACGGAGCAACGCCGCGUGAGUGAUGAAGGUCUUAGGAUCGUAAAACUCUGUUGUUAGGGAAGAACAAAUUUGUUAGUAACUGAACAAGUCUUGACGGUACCUAACCAGAAAGCCACGGCUAACUUCGUGCCAGCCGCCGCCGUAA